rnacentral:rRNA from 1 species
CCCUUAGAUGUUCUGGGCCGCACGCGCGCUACACUGACUGGUGCAACAAGUGUCUGACCUUGGCUCGAGAGGCCUGGGCAACCUUUGAACGCCAGUCGUGAUGGGGAUAGAUUAUUGCAAUUAUUAAUCUUCAACGAGGAAUGCCUAGUAAGCGCAAGUCAUCAGCUUGCGUUGAUUACGUCCCUGCCCUUUGUACACACCGCCCGUCGCUCCUACCGAUUGAAUGGUCCGGUGAAGCGUUCGGACCGUGGCCUUUGGACGGUUCGCCGUCUGUUGGCUGCGGGAAGUUCGUUAAACCUUAUCAUUUAGAGGAAGGAGAAGUCGUAACA